CUACCAUGCAGUCGACGGGCAUCUUCGGAUGUCAGUGGCAGACGGGUGAGUAACACGUGGGAACGUACCCUUCGGUUCGGAAUAACUCAGGGAAACUUGAGCUAAUACCGGAUACGCCCUUUUGGGGAAAGGUUUACUGCCGAAGGAUCGGCCCGCGUCUGAUUAGCUUGUUGGUGGGGUAACGGCCUACCAAGGCGACGAUCAGUAGCUGGUCUGAGAGGAUGAUCAGCCACACUGGGACUGAGACACGGCCCAGACUCCUACGGGAGGCAGCAGUGGGGAAUAUUGGACAAUGGGCGCAAGCCUGAUCCAGCCAUGCCGCGUGAGUGAUCAAGGCCUUAGGGUUGUAAAGCUCUUUUGUCCGGGACGAUAAUGACUGUACCGGAAAAAUAAACCCCGGCUAACUUCGUGCCAUCAUCCUCGGUAAUACGAAGGGGGCUAGCGUUGCUCA
rnacentral:rRNA from 1 species